UCCUACGGGGCGCAGCAGUAGGGAAUUUUCGUCAAUGGGCGCAAGCCUGAACGAGCAAUGCCGCGUGAACGAGGAAGGUCUUCGGAUCGUAAAGUUCUGUUGAAGGGGAAAAAGAGCGGAGAGAGGAAAUGCUUUCUGAUUGAUAUUACCCUUCGAGGAAGUCACGGCUAACUACGUGCCAGCAGCCGCGGUAAUACGUAGGUGGCGAGCGUUAUCCGGAAUGAUUGGGCGUAAAGGGUGCGUAGGCGGCCUGCUAAGUCUGGAGUGAAAGGCAGGGGCCCAACCCCUGGACUGCUCUGGAAACU
rnacentral:rRNA from 1 species